rnacentral:misc_RNA from 1 species
GAUGAAGAACGUAGCGAAAUGCGAUAAGUAAUGUGAAUUGCAGAAUUCAGUGAAUCAUCGAAUCUCUGAACGCACAUUGCGCCCCCUGGUAUUCCGGGGGGCAUGCCUGUUCGAGCGUCAUUACAACCCUCAAGCUCUGCUUGGUAUUGGGCCCCGCCAGUUCUGGCGGGCCCUAAAGUCAGUGGCGGUGCCUUCCGGCUCCGAGCGUAGUAAUUCUUCUCGCUCUGGAGACCCGGUUGUGUGCUUGCCAACAACCCCCAAUUUUUUAAGGUUGACCUCGGAUCAGGUAGGGAUACCCGCUGAACUUAAGCAUAUCAAUAAGCGGAGGA